rnacentral:rRNA from 1 species
UGGCGGACGGGUGAGUAACGCGUGGGUAACCUGCCCUAUACUGGGGGAUAACAGCUAGAAAUGGCUGCUAAUACCGCAUGAGCGCACAGUCCCGCAUGGGACAGUGUGGAAAACUCCGGUGGUAUAGGAUGGACCCGCGUCCGAUCAGCUGGUUGGUGGGGUAACGGCCCACCAAGGCGACGAUCGGUAGCCGACCUGAGAGGGUGACCGGCCACAUUGGGACUGAGACACGGCCCAAGCUCCUACGGAAGGCAGCAG